rnacentral:rRNA from 3 species
GGUUUCCGUAGGUGAACCUGCGGAAGGAUCAUUACCGAGUGCGGGCCCCUCGGGGCCCAACCUCCCACCCGUGUUGCCCGAACCUAUGUUGCCUCGGCGGGCCCCGCGCCCGCCGACGGCCCCCCUGAACGCUGUCUGAAGUUGCAGUCUGAGACCUAUAACGAAAUUAGUUAAAACUUUCAACAACGGAUCUCUUGGUUCCGGCAUCGAUGAAGAACGCAGCGAAAUGCGAUAACUAAUGUGAAUUGCAGAAUUCAGUGAAUCAUCGAGUCUUUGAACGCACAUUGCGCCCUCUGGUAUUCCGGAGGGCAUGCCUGUCCGAGCGUCAUUGCUGCCCUCAAGCCCGGCUGGUGUGUUGGGCCCCGUCCCCCCCGCCGGGGGGACGGGCCCGAAAGGCAGCGGCGGCACCGCGUCCGGUCCUCGAGCGUAUGGGGCUUCGUCACCCGCUCUAGUAGGCCCGGCCGGCGCCAGCCGACCCCCAACCUUUAAUUAUCUCAGGUUGACCUCGGAUCAGGUAGGGAUACCCGCUGAACUUAAGCAU